GAUGAACGCUGGCGGUGUGCCUAAUACAUGCAAGUCGAGCGAACAGACGAGGAGCUUACUCCUCUGACGUUAGCGGCGGACGGGUGAGUAACACGUGGAUAACCUACCUAUAAGACUGGGAUAACUUCGGGAAACCGGAGCUAAUACCGGAUAACAUGUUGAACCGCAUGGUUCAACAGUGAAAGACGGUCUUGCUGUCACUUAUAGAUGGAUCCGCGUCGCAUUAGCUAGUUGGUAAGGUAACGGCUUACCAAGGCAACGAUGCGUAGCCGACCUGAGAGGGUGAUCGGCCACCCUGGACCUGAGCAACGGCCCAGAAUACUACGGGAGGCAGCCGUAGGGAAUCUUCCGACAUGGGCGAAAGCCUGACGGAGCAACGCCGCGUGAGUGAAGAAGGUCUUCGGAUCGUAAAACUCUGUUAUUAGGGAAGAACAAAUGUGUAAGUAACUAUGCACGUCUUGACGGUACCUAAUCAGAAAGCCACGGCUAACUACGUG
rnacentral:rRNA from 1 species